UACGUAGGGUGCAAGCGUUGUCCGGAAUACUGGGCGUAAAGCGUGCGCAGGCGGUUUUGUAAGUCAGAUGUGAAAUCCCCGGGCUCAACCUGGGAACUGCGUUUGAAACUGCAAGGCUAGAGUAUGGGAGAGGGAGGUAGAAUUCCACGUGUAGCAGUGAAAUGCGCAGAUAUCAGGAGGAACACCGAUGGCGAAGGCAGCCCCCUGGGUCAAGAUUGACGCUCAUGCACGAAAGCGUGGGGAGCAAACAGG
rnacentral:rRNA from 1 species